GACGGAGGAGGCAAGCAUUGUCUGGAAUUAUUGGGCGUAAAGAACACGUAGGCGGUUUGUCAAGUCAUAUGUGAAAACCUUGGGCUUAACUUAAGGAUUGCAUAUGAUACUGGCAAACUAGAGUAUAGUAGAGGAAAGCGGAAUUCCUGGUGUAGCGGUGAAAUGCGCAGAUAUCAGGAAGAACGCCAGUGGCGAAAGCGGCUUUCUGGACUGUUACUGACGCUGAGGUGUGAAAGCUAGGGAGGCGAACAGGAUUAGAUA
rnacentral:rRNA from 1 species